AUAUGAAGUAAAGUUGGAACUCACCAGAAUCCUGUCCAUCUCUCUGCUGUCCUUCUGCAAAAUCUCCAAUUCUCUUCUCACUGAAUGAAUGUGCCCUUCAACAGAGAAAAAGGGUUAUCUAUGCAGUCUUCAGCUGAUGCAGAGGAGACCUUUUCUCUAGCUUUUAAAAUUGCAUCUGGAGUAAAGAUCUAUUGAAGGUGGGAGAGCAUGUCACUCUUAUCCAAAGCAGGGCACAAUCUACUCACCACAUCCAGGUUUAUAAGGUGCAGAUGAUCUGGACAUAAACUUGGGAAAAUCAUCAGGAUUCUUAUGGAUGUUCGAAGGGAAAGAUCAUCUUCAUGACUUUUAGCAUGUGAAAGUAGCAGAAAAGAGUAGUAGCUGGUGUGAAUACUUACCA